rnacentral:rRNA from 1 species
UACGUAGGGGGCUAGCGUUGUCCGGAAUCAUUGGGCGUAAAGCGCGUGUAGGCGGUCCGGUAAGUCCGCUGUGAAAGUCGGGGGCUCAACCUCGAGACGCCGGCGGAAACCAUCAGGCUAGAGUCCGGAAGAGGAGAGUGGAAUUCCGUGGUGUAGCGGUGAAAUGCGCAGAUAUCAGGAAGAACACCCGUGGCUAAGGCGGCUCUCUAGUACGGUACUGACGCUGAGACGCGAAAGCGUGGGGAGCGAACAGG